rnacentral:rRNA from 1 species
AUUGAACGCUGGCGGCAUGCUUUACACAUGCAAGUCGAACGGUAACAGGUUAAGCUGACGAGUGGCGAACGGGUGAGUAAUGCAUCGGAACGUGCCCGAUCGUGGGGGAUAACGCAGCGAAAGCUGCGCUAAUACCGCAUACGAUCUGGGGAUGAAAGCGGGGGACCGUAAGGCCUCGCGCGAUCGGAGCGGCCGAUGUCAGAUUAGGUAGUUGGUGGGGUAAAGGCCCACCAAGCCGACGAUCUGUAGCUGGUCUGAGAGGACGACCAGCCACACUGGGACUGAGACACGGCCCAGACUCCUACGGGAGGCAGCAGUGGGGAAUAUUGGUCAAUGGACGCAAGUCUGAACCAGCCAUGCCGCGUGAAGGAUGAAGGUCCUCUGGAUUGUAAACUUCUUUUAUCUGGGACGAAACCCUCGUUUUCUAACGGGAUUGACGGUACCAGAGGAAUAAGCACCGGCUAACUCCGUGCCAGCCGCCGCCGUAAAAC